GAUGAACGCUAGCGGGAGGCUUAACACAUGCAAGUCGAGGGGUAUUGUAGCAAUACAUUAGACCGGCGCACGGGUGAGUAACGCGUAUGCAACCUGCCGUUAACCGGGGGAUAGCCCGUCGAAAGGCGGAUUAAUACCCCAUAAUAUUGGGAUUCUGCAUGGGAUUUCAAUUAAAGCUGAGGUGGUUAACGAUGGGCAUGCGUGACAUUAGCUAGUUGGUAGGGUAACGGCCUACCAAGGCUACGAUGUCUAGGGGUUCUGAGAGGAAGGUCCCCCACACUGGUACUGAGACACGGACCAGACUCCUACGGGAGGCAGCAGUGAGGAAUAUUGGUCAAUGGGCGAGAGCCUGAACCAGCCAUCCCGCGUGCAGGAAGACGGCCCUAUGGGUCGUAAACUGCUUUUGCGCAUGAAGAAUAUUACCGACGUGUCGGUAAGUGACGGUAAUGCGUGAAUAAGCAUCGGCUAACUCCGUGCCAGCCGCCGCGGUAAAAC
rnacentral:rRNA from 1 species